rnacentral:misc_RNA from 1 species
AUAUCUCAACACAGACAGGUUUAUUAUCUGUUCUGUUGCUUGGAUGUUGAAGGUUUGCUGGUGUCAAACUAGCUCCUUUGAAAUACAUUAGCCGAUACCAUGCAUCAAACUGGCUUCAGUAUGAUAAGGAUUUUUAUCUAUAUUACUGUUGCUAGUGAGCAAAAAUGGUUGUUUCAGCUUACAAGCUGCCCCCUAUGGGGCUGUCUCAUUUGAGGCAUAAUUUUGAU